UUGGCGGCGCACCCCACUGCGGCCGCGAGCGCGAGGGCGUGCGCGAGCGCCACCGCCACCAGGCCGCCGCCGCCCUUGUCAUGGUGGUGCAUCCUCCCUGCGCGCGCGCGGCACCGGUGCACACGUUUACGACGUACGACGAGUGAGGAGACACGCGCGACGACAAGCACACAGCAUGCACCGUUAAUUUAUACACAGUAUAUAUAUAACGUAAGUAGGUAGGUACGUACCGAGAGAGAGCGUGGCACCCUCGGCGGCGAAGACGAAGAUGGCGGUGGCGAGGAGUUCGGCGGCCGCGUGGCGCAGCGUGGCGGGGUCUUUGGCCGUAGCCAGGUGGCCGACGGUGAACCGGCGCCGUACUGCCCUGAUCAUAUUCAUGGCUGCCAG
rnacentral:lncRNA from 1 species